GUCAGCAUGGUGUAAUGGUUUGAACGUUGGACUAUGAUUCUGGAGAUCAGGGUUUGAAUCCCUGCUCAAC